rnacentral:miRNA from 1 species
GGGCAUCUGCUGACAUGGGGG